rnacentral:rRNA from 1 species
AUUGAACGCUGGCGGCAGGCCUAACACAUGCAAGUCGAACGGUAACAGGAAGCAGCUUGCUGCUUUGCUGACGAGUGGCGGACGGGUGAGUAAUGUCUGGGAAACUGCCCGAUGGAGGGGGAUAACUACUGGAAACGGUAGCUAAUACCGCAUAACGUCGAAAGAGCAAAGAGGGGGACCUUAGGGCAUCUUGCCAUCGGAUGUGACCAGAUGGGAUUAGCUAGUAGGUGGGGUAACGGCUCACCUAGGCGACGAUCCCUAGCUGGUCUGAGAGGAUGACCAGCCACACUGGAACUGAGACACGGUCCAGACUCCUACGGGAGGCAGCAGUGGGGAAUAUUGCACAAUGGGCGCAAGCCUGAUGCAGCCAUGCCGCGUGUAGGAAGAAGGCCUUCGGGUUGUAAAGUACUUUCAUCGGGGAGGAAGGGAGUAAAGUUAAUACCUGUGCUCAUUGACGUUACCCGCAGAAUAAGCACCGGCUAACUCCGUG